GGCUGCCCUCAGAACUCACUCUGUAGACCAGGCUGGCCACGAACUCACAGAGAUCCGCCGGCCUCUGCCUCCGGAGUGUUGGGAUUAAAGGCAUGCACCAAUAUGCCCAGCUCCUCUUCUUUAUUGGAAGUUGAAAAGGAAAGAUUCUAACCCUCAAGGCCUGGCGUUGCUGCCUUACUCUGCCCAAAUGACCCCGGAGAACCCCGGUGGCAGGCCUGGCAGCGCGACGUG